CCUACGGGUGGCAGCAGUAGGGAAUCUUCGUCAAUGGGCGCAAGCCUGAACGAGCAAUGCCGCGUGAACGAGGAAGGUCUUCGGAUCGUAAAGUUCUGUUGAAGGGGAAAAAGAGCGGAGAGAGGAAAUGAACUCCGAUUGAUAUUACCCUUCGAGGAAGUCACGGCUAACUCCGUGCCAGCAGCCGCGGUAAUACGUAGGUGGCGAGCGUUAUCCGGAAUGAUGGGGCGUAAAGGGUGCGUAGGCGGCCUGCUAAGUCUGGAGUGAAAGGUACCGGUGCAACCGGGAUAGGCUCUGGUAACUGGCGGGCUAGAGAGCAGGAGAGGGCGGUGGAACGCCAUGUGUAGCGGUAAAAUGCGUAGAUAUAUGGAAGAACACCAGUGGCGAAGGCGGCCGCCUGGCCUGUUACUGACGCUGAGGCACGAAAGCGUGGGGAGCAAAUAGGAUUAGAUACCCUUGUAGUC
rnacentral:rRNA from 1 species